GUCGGUAAAACUCGUGCCAGCCACCGCGGUUAUACGAGAGACCCUAAUUGAUAGGCACGGCGUAAAGAGUGGUUUAGGGUGACCUAAAAAUAAAGCUAAAGACCUUCUAAGCCGUCACACGCACACCGAAGGCACGAGACCCCAACACGAAAGUAGCUUUACUAUUACCCCUGACGCCACGAAAGCUAAGAAACAAACUGGGAUUAGAUACCCCACUAUG
rnacentral:rRNA from 1 species